GAUGAACGCUGGCGGCGUGCCUAACACAUGCAAGUCGAGCGAUGAGGCUCCCUUCGGGGGGUACAUCAGCGGCGAACGGGUGAGUAACACGUGGGUGACCUUCCCCAAAGACGGGGAUAACUCUUGGAAACAGGGGCUAAUACCCGAUGUGCUCAGCAGUUCACUCUGUUGAGUAAAGCUAUGGCGCUUUGGGAUGGGCCCGCGGCCCAUCAGCUAGUUGGAAGGGUAAUGGCCUACCAAGGCUAAGACGGGUAGGGGGCGUGAGAGCGCGAUCCCCCACACUGGCACUGAGACACGGGCCAGACUCCUACGGGAGGCAGCAGUGAGGAAUAUUGCGCAAUGGACGAAAGUCUGACGCAGCGACGCCGCGUGGGCGAUGAAGGCCUUCGGGUCGUAAAGCCCUUUUCUGGGGGAAGGGAAAGGACGGUACCCCAGGAAUAAGCCCCGGCUAACUACGUGCCAGCAGCCGCGGUAAAACGUAGGGGCAAGCGUUAUCCGGAUUUACUGGG
rnacentral:rRNA from 1 species